rnacentral:rRNA from 1 species
UACGUAGGGUGCGAGCGUUGUCCGGAAUUAUUGGGCGUAAAGAGCUCGUAGGCGGUUUGUUGCGUCUAUCGUGAAAACCUGCGGCUUAACUGUGGGCUUGCGGUGGAUACGGGCAGACUUGAGUUCGGGAGAGGGAUGCGGAAUUCCAGGUGUAGCGGUGAAAUGCGUAGAUAUCUGGAGGAACACCGAUAGCGAAGGCAGCUCGCUGGGACGGUACUGACGCUAAGGCGCGAAAGCGUGGGGAGCGAACAGG